rnacentral:rRNA from 1 species
GAUGAACGCUGGCGGCGUGCCUAAUACAUGCAAGUCGAGCGAAUGGAUUGAGAGCUUGCUCUCAAGAAGUUAGCGGCGGACGGGUGAGUAACACGUGGGUAACCUGCCCAUAAGACUGGGAUAACCCCGGGAAACCGGGCUAAUACCGGAUAAUAUUUGAACUGCAUGGUUCGAAAUUGAAAGGCGGCUUCGGCUGUCACUUAUGGAUGGACCGCGUCGCAUUAGCUAGUUGGUGAGGUAACGGCUCACCAAGGCAACGAUGCGUAGCCGACCUGAGAGGGUGAUCGGCCACACUGGGACUGAGACACGGCCCAGACUCUUACGGGAGGCAGCAGUAGGGAAUCUUCCGCAAUGGACGAAAGUCUGACGGAGCAACGCCGCGUGAGUGAUGAAGGCUUUCGGGUCGUAAAACUCUGUUGUUAGGGAAGAACAAGUGCUAGUUGAAUAAGCUGGCACCUUGACGGUACCUAACCAGAAAGCCACGGCUAACUACGUGCCAGCAGCCG